rnacentral:rRNA from 1 species
GAUGAACGCUGGCGGCGUGCUUAACACAUGCAAGUCGAACGCUGAAGCCUGGUGCUUGCACUGGGUGGAUGAGUGGCGAACGGGUGAGUAACACGUGAGUAACCUGCCCUUGACUUCGGGAUAAGCCCGGGAAACUGGGUCUAAUACUGGAUAUGACCUCCUACUGCAUGGUGGGGGGUGGAAAGAUUUAUCGGUUGGGGAUGGACUCGCGGCCUAUCAGUUUGUUGGUGGGGUAAUGGCCUACCAAGACGACGACGGGUAGCCGGCCUGAGAGGGUGACCGGCCACACUGGGACUGAGACACGGCCCAGACUCCUACGGGAGGCAGCAGUGGGGAAUAUUGCACAAUGGGCGCAAGCCUGAUGCAGCGACGCCGCGUGAGGGAUGACGGCCUUCGGGUUGUAAACCUCUUUCAGUAGGGAAGCAGCCCCUCGGGGUGACGGUACCUGCAGAAGAAGCGCCGGCUAACUACGUGCCAGCAGCCGCGGUAAUACGUAGGGCGCAAGCGUUAUCCGGAAUUAUUGGGCGUAAAGAGCUCGUAGGCGGUUUGUCGCGUCUGCUGUGAAAGCCCGGGGCUUAACUCCGGGUGUGCAGUGGGUACGGGCAGGCUAGAGUGCAGUAGGGGAGACUGGAAUUCCUGGUGUAGCGGUGGAAUGCGCAGAUAUCAGGAGGAACACCGAUGGCGAAGGCAGGUCUCUGGGCUGUUACUGACGCUGAGGAGCGAAAGCAUGGGGAGCAAACAGGAUUAGAUACCCUGGUAGUCCAUGCCGUAAACGUUGGGCACUAGGUGUGGGGGACAUUCCACGUUUUCCGCGCCGUAGCUAACGCAUUAAGUGCCCCGCCUGGGGAGUACGGCCGCAAGGCUAAGACUCAAAGGAAUUGACGGGGGCCCGCACAAGCGGCGGAGCAUGCGGAUUAAUUCGAUGCAACGCGAAGAACCUUACCAAGGCUUGACAUGGACCGGAUCGGCGCAGAGAUGUGUUUUCCCUUCGGGGCUGGUUCACAGGUGGUGCAUGGUUGUCGUCAGCUCGUGUCGUGAGAUGUUGGGUUAAGUCCCGCAACGAGCGCAACCCUCGUUCUAUGUUGCCAGCACGUUAUGGUGGGGACUCAUGGGAGACUGCCGGGGUCAACUCGGAGGAAGGUGGGGAUGACGUCAAAUCAUCAUGCCCCUUAUGUCUUGGGCUUCACGCAUGCUACAAUGGCCGGUACAAUGGGUUGCGAUACUGUGAGGUGGAGCUAAUCCCAAAAAGCCGGUCUCAGUUCGGAUUGGGGUCUGCAACUCGACCCCAUGAAGUCGGAGUCGCUAGUAAUCGCAGAUCAGCAACGCUGCGGUGAAUACGUUCCCGGGCCU